ACUCCUACGGGAGGCAGCAGUGGGGAAUUUUGGACAAUGGGGGAAACCCUGAUCCAGCAAUGCCGCGUGAGUGAAGAAGGCCUUCGGGUUGUAAAGCUCUUUCAGUUGAGAAGAAAAGGUUGUGACUAAUAAUCAUAAUUUAUGACGGUAUCAACAGAAGAAGCACCGGCUAACUACGUGCCAGCAGCCGCGGUAAUA
rnacentral:rRNA from 1 species